rnacentral:lncRNA from 1 species
UGAUUUUCAGCUUCCAGCCCUUGAUUUGUGGGGGGAAGAGGCAGCACGUUGCUGUGGUCAGGAGAAGCUGGUGCCCUGGCCAUUACAGUUUGGGACCUUCUACUUGCUUUCUAAGAUCCAACACCUUUGGAAUAGAGGUAGCAAGAAACAAGAGCUGCCUGACCACUUUUGGUAUCUUGUAAGUCUCUCGCUUCCAUGAGCUCCAAAGAUAUUGAACACAGUCCCAAAAUAGCCACCUCAUCCAGCAGUGAAUGGGGAAAAGACAAAGGCACCAAAAAUGCUACAGAUUCAGGCUUCCAUGGCUAGAUGCUUCCCUGUCUGACAGAAGUAUUCAACUUGAUAGCAAGCCUACUCGAGAGCAAACCGUCUCUUCCUCCGGCUGUAUGAAAAACGAGAAAGGUCACCCAGUGAUUUCAGUAGUGAAACUUUUGCUCAUGGAAGGCCAGACGUGCGAUGUGGUGGGCAAUGUGCAGACAAGCAGGAAGCCGCAUGUCAUAGAGUUACUUGUCCUUCACGAAGCUGGAGGUGGUGGCCACUUGACAGGCAGUACACUCCCUCCUCAACAAAAUCAAUGAGUUCUUUUUGAUAUUUUGAAGGCAAGUCUGUCAGGGACGCUGUCUCCCUCCACUAUAGGAUGUAAGUGGGCAGCUUAAGUCCAUCUUCAGUGUAAGUAGAGAACAAGGUUUCAAGAGCAUCCACAAGCAGACACCAGAGCAGGGCUUGGCCACUCUGUCGUGCUGAGAAUGACCUCGUAUGAUGCUCGCCCUCUCCUUCCCACCCCCACCCUGAUUUAAUGGAUCUGGGUGAGGGGACCAGAGUCUUGGGAUUCUGGAGACCAACCUAGCCGGUUGGAAUGUGCAGCCGGAGUCGAGAACCACCUCCCUGGUCAACUGGAUGAUUUGUUCCAAGUCUCACUCAGAAGCAUGGUGGCCCCUUUAUGAUCAAAAAACAAAACAUCCUCUUUUCACUCAUUUGGUGCCAGAGACCCUGGCUCCUAUACCACAUUUUUUUGCACAAGCUCUCAAUACAGGAAACAGUGCAGCUCCAAAGGAGGAGGAGGCCUGGGUUCUCAAGAAGCCCAAACUCAGCUACUCACUGGGCUAGUGCACAGGAUAGGACCCAAAUGACCUUCAGCCCAGAGACUCAAAGAGAAAGAGCCCACAGUUCCCAGGCAAGUUACUUCACAUCCUUGGGCUCGGCACCUUCUUCUGGAAAACAGAGGACUGGACUCACUAGACAAUCUCUGAACAUUUUCUAGCUUUACAAAUGUGUGAGCAUCUAGUGUUUCUGUCAAUACAUCUAAGCAUUUCAAUCUAUACUAACCUGUUCUUUCCACCUACAAAAUAGAAACAAAACACAUCCCCUCCAGGAGGUCUGACGUUCCCAUUCUUAGUUUUAAAAGCCAAAGGGUUUUUAAGCUCUUUGUAGCUAAAUCUUACCUUAAAUGUAUGAGUUGAAGCAAAUCGAGUCUGGUCAAGGCUUACACUGGCAGAAGGUAACAUGAGAUCCAGUGCUGUUUUGACACACUUCUGAAGGACACAUGUUCCGAGGAAAGGAGAAGAGGCUGGGGCAUGUGGCAUUUUCUGCUCAGAGCCCUGAUUAUCUCUGGUGAUAUGACUUCUUGAAAGAAUCGGCUAGGCUCUUCCUGAUGCAAUUCUCUUGGUAAAUUGCUAAAGAAUAUGGAUUUCCAAUAGCAGAUGUCAAGGUCUGGGCUCCCAGGAAUGCUUGAUUCACAUGAAAAUCUGACCACACCUGCCAUCUGUCACUGGGCAGGAAAGGGGCACAAUGAAGUGGGACCCAAAGCCCUAGGAAUUUAAAAUUUGCACAAGUGAAACUGGCAGUUUGCCAUCCUGUCUAUGCACAUGAAUUUCCCUUUCUGACCAAUUUCUUUUGUAGAAAGGGUAAUUAGCUUUACUACUACCAUUGCCUCUAUUACUACCUCUAGGCAAAUCAUUAAUAGUCAGCUCCAUCACCUAACCAUAUUUCCAGUACUUGAACUUUUACUCCAUAAAAAACUCACAAAAGAUAGAUAGGCAGGUACAUAUAUAUCUAUUUAUACAUACAUUUAUGUGUGCAUGUAUAUAUACACAUAUAUAUAACAAAUAUAUAUUUUUAAGUAUGAAUACACAGCGUCAUCAACAUCAAUAUCAGCCACUCACUAUAUUGAGCACCUAUCACAGUCUCUGUCUUCUUGCAAUUUAACUACAGAGGUGCGGGGGCAGAGGGUGGGCAUGGGAAUGAGAAUACAAAUAUCCAUAAAACAAGAUAGUCAGUAAAGCAUAAACUGUCAGUUCUCAAAAAAUAAUGGCAAAGAUGAAUCAAGAAGAAAUAGAUAAUUUGAAUAGACCAAUAACUAUAAGUAAAAUAGAAUAUGAAAUUUUAAAAACUCUCUACAAAUGAAAGUCUAGGACCAGAUGGGUUCACAGGCAAAUUCUACCAAACAUGCAAAGAACUUAUACCAAUCCUUCUUAACUCUUCCAAAAGAUUGAAGAAAAGGGAAUAGUCCCAAAGACAUUCUAUGAAGCCAUGAUCACAUUAAUACCAAAAACAGACAAAGAUAUAAUCAAAAAAGAAAAUUAUAGGUCAGUUAUCUUUGAUGAAUAUAGAUGCAAAAAUUCUCAACAAAAUUUUAGCCAACCAAAUCCAACCACACAUGAAAAAGAUCACACACCACAACCAAGCCAGAUUUCUCCCAAGUUCACAUGGAUGGUUCAACUUAUGCAAAUCAAUCACCAUCACAUACCAGUUUAACAAAAGGAAAAUCAAAACCACGUGAUCAUCUCAAUAGAUGCAGAAAAUCAUUUGAAAAUUCAACAUCCAUUCACAAUAAAAACUCUUACCAAAGUGGGUAUAUAGGGAACAUAACUCAACAUAGUAAAAGCCAUUUAUAACAAACCCACAGCCAAUAUAAUACUCAACAGAGAAAAGCCAAAAUACUUCUUGCUAAAAUCUGCAAUAACACAAAGCUUCCCAAUCUCACCACUUUCAUUCAACAUAGUAUUGGAAGUCCUAGCCACAGCAAUCACACAAAAUAAAUAAAUAAGUUAAAAGCAUUCAAAUUGGAAGAGAAGAGGUAAAAUUGUCACUAUUUGUAGAUGACAGGAUACUAUAUAUAGAAAACUCUAAAGACUCCACACAAAAACUACUCAAUCUGACAAAUGAAUUCAGCAAAGUAGCAGGAAAUAAGAUUAACACUUAGAAAUCAGUUACAUUUUUUAUGCAAACAAUGAAAUAUCAAAAAAGAAAUGUAAA